GGCGGGAUAGCUCAAGCAGAGCGUCGGCGCGUGCCGAAGAUGCCGGUUCGAACCCGGCUCCCGAAGCCA
rnacentral:tRNA from 1 species